GAUGAACGCUGGCGGCGUGCCUAAUACAUGCAAGUCGAGCGAACGGACGAGAAGCUUGCUUUUCUGAUGUUAGCGGCGGACGGGUGAGUAACACGUGGAUAAUCUACCUAUAAGACUGGGAUAACUUCGGGAAACCGGAGCUAAUACCGGAUAAUAUUUUGAACCGCAUGGUUCAAAAGUGAAAGACGGUCUUGCUGUCACUUAUAGAUGGAUCCGCGCUGCAUUAGCUAGUUGGUAAGGUAACGGCUUACCAAGGCAACGAUGCAUAGCCGACCUGAGAGGGUGAUCGGCCACACUGGAACUGAGACACGGUCCAGACUCCUACGGGAGGCAGCAGUAGGGAAUCUUCCGCAAAGGGCGAAAGCCUGACGGAGCAACGCCGCGUGAGUGAUGAAGGUCUUCGGAUCGUAAAACUCUGUUAUUAGGGAAGAACAUAUGUGUAAGUAACUGUGCACAUCUUGACGGUACCUAAUCAGAAAGCCACGGCUAACUACGUG
rnacentral:rRNA from 1 species